rnacentral:rRNA from 1 species
UACGUAGGGGGCGAGCGUUGUCCGGAUUUAUUGGGCGUAAAGAGCUCGUAGGCGGUUUGGUAAGUCGGGUGUGAAAUCUCCACGCUCAACGUGGAGGGGCCACUUCGAUACUGCCAUGACUCGAGUCCGGGUAGGAGGAGUGUGGAAUUCCUGGUGUAGCGGUGAAAUGCGCAGAUAUCAGGAGGAACACCGGUGGCGAAGGCGGGUCUCUGGGCCGAUACUGACGUGGAGGAGCGAAAGCGUGGGGGAGCGAAACAGG